CUGCAGCUCUGAGUGCUGGCAGCCCCUAAGGCCAGUCCUGCUUCGAGGCUCUCUCCAGCACCUCUUGUUCCUACCCGCCUUGUGAGUGAGCCAUGGGGAGCACUGACUCGGGGCAGCCAGCAUCUGCUUGAGGUCGUUCUACCAGGACAGUGGCGCUUGACAUUGGAAGCACCGAAUGAGCUUUUCAAACCCUUCGCAUCUGAAUUCAGAAGAACUCAGUCAACAAUUCUGCUCAGGAGCGGAGCAGAGGAACAUUGUUUGAAGUUCUCGGAGACCAUUCUUAGGUGGACUGAGGCCCACGCUCACCAGGAGAUUAACCUCGGCAGGCUGCAGUGAGGAGGGACAGAGCAGGCUCGGACAGGACGUCCAAGAUGCAAGGGAAGUCCAAACAAAUCUACCUGCGUAAGGUAGACUCUCCCUACCACUGCCAGUCCGAGGCCUCGUUGUCCUGUGGCGAUCUCUGGCAAGUGUUCUCUCAGCCCUUCAUGUGGCACAUGGCCGUCUAUGACUUCCUGAUGACAUUAUUCUACACCAUUUUGUUCACGGUGCUGUUCAACAAUGCUGCGUGACCAUCUCUCUCAUGCCAAAUAAACCUUCGCAAAGGCCA